CCUUCCAAGGAAGAAAUCGAAGAGCUCAUAAAGAACGGCGCUUUUGAUCGAAGAGUAAUGAUGAUGAAGAAGAAGAAGUAUGUGUAGAUGGCGAAGCUGAAAAUUCCGGAGAUGAAGUUGCUCAGGUGUUAGCCGUGGCGGUAAGAACUCUUCUUCCAUGGAUGUUGAUGAUGUUGCUGAUGGGCUGAAGGAACUUGACGUGGAUAAUUACGAUGACGAGGAUGAAGUGACUGGAGUUAUCUCCAGAGCUCUCCACAAUCUUCAAUAUUAGUGUUACAUUAAAAGGCUCAGGACCAUGGU